GUAGUCCACGCCGUAAACUAUGAGAACUAGCCGUUGGGGCCCUUGAGGUCUUAGUGGCGCAGCUAACGCGAUAAGUUCUCCGCCUGGGGAGUACGGCCGCAAGGUUAAAACUCAAAUGAAUUGACGGGGGCCCGCACAAGCGGUGGAGCAUGUUGUUUAAUUCGAUGCAACGCGAAGAACCUUACCACCCCUUGACAUCCUCAGAACUUGUCGGAGACGACUUGGUGCCUUCGGGAACUGAGUGACAGGUGCUGCAUGGCUGUCGUCAGCUCGUGUCGUGAGAUGUUGGGUUAAGUCCCGUAACGAGCGCAACCCUCGUCCUUAUUUGCCAGCGGGUAAUGCCGGGAACUCUAAGGAGACUGCCGGUGAUAAACCGGA
rnacentral:rRNA from 1 species